UACGUAGGGUGCGAGCGUUGUCCGGAAUUAUUGGGCGUAAAGAGCUCGUAGGCGGUGUGUCACGUCGGCCGUGAAAACCUGCAGCUUAACUGUGGGCGUGCGGUCGAUACGGGCAUCACUGGAGUUCGGCAGGGGAGACUGGAAUUCCUGGUGUAGCGGUGAAAUGCGCAGAUAUCAGGAGGAACACCGGUGGCGAAGGCGGGUCUCUGGGCCGAUACUGACGGCUGAGGAGCGAAAGCCAGGGGAGCAAACGGGG
rnacentral:rRNA from 1 species